AUUGAACGCUGGCGGCAGGCCUAACACAUGCAAGUCGAACGGUAACAGAAAGCAGCUUGCUGCUUUGCUGACGAGUGGCGGACGGGUGAGUAAUGUCUGGGAAACUGCCUGAUGGAGGGGGAUAACUACUGGAAACGGUAGCUAAUACCGCAUAACGUCGCAAGACCAAAGAGGGGGGACCUUCGGGGCCUCUUGCCAUCGGAUGUGCCCAGAUGGGAUUAGCUAGUAGGUGGGGUAACGGCUCACCUAGGCGACGAUCCCUAGCUGGUCUGAGAGGAUGACCAGCCACACUGGAACUGAGACACGGUCCAGACUCCUACGGGAGGCAGCAGUGGGGAAUAUUGCACAAUGGCGCAAGCCUGAUGCAGCCAUGCCGCGUGUAUGAAGAAGGCCCUUCGGGUUGUAAAGUACUUUCAGCGGGGAGGAAGGGAGUAAAGGUUUAAAUAA
rnacentral:rRNA from 1 species